rnacentral:rRNA from 1 species
GACGAACGCUGGCGGCGUGCUUAACACAUGCAAGUCGAACGGAAAGGCCCUGCUUUUGUGGGGUGCUCGAGUGGCGAACGGGUGAGUAACACGUGAGUAACCUGCCCUUGACUUUGGGAUAACUUCAGGAAACUGGGGCUAAUACCGGAUAGGAGCUCCUGCUGCAUGGUGGGGGUUGGAGAGUUUCGGCGGUUGGGGAUGGACUCGCGGCUUAUCAGCUUGUUGGUGGGGUAGUGGCUUACCCAGGCUUUGACGGGUAGCCGGCCUGAGAGGGUGACCGGCCACAUUGGGACUGAGAUACGGCCGAGACUGCUACGGGAGGCAGCAGUGGGGAAUAUUGCAGAAUGGGCGGAAGCCUGAUGCAGCAACGCCGCGUGCGGGAUGACGGCCUUCGGGUUGUAAACCGCUUUCGCCUGUGACGAAGCGUGAGUGACGGUAAUGGGUAAAGAAGCACCGGCUAACUACGUG